GGCUUUUUCCCCUCUGUUGAUGGAAAUGACGAAGGUGGAGGUUAAAAAUCCAUUCCUAUGUUUUUUCUUUGUAAUUUUUUUUCCUUCUUAAUGAAAUCUCAUCCAUUUAGCAAAAAUAAAAUAUAAAAAAGAGAGAAGUGGAAGAGAAAAAGGGUUCAAAUUCUGUUAUUCUUCUCAGGCUGAGAAGCGAAAUGGAGGGAGGGCGAGUUUCAUGGAGAAAUUUCAGAUUUGUGUUUGAGAAUCUGAGAUCGCGAAGAGGGAGAGAUUUCCUUGGAGUUUAGGUUUCAGAUUCGGAGAGGAGGGUUUUUAGAAAAGAAAAGGGGCAGAAACCAGUUUCUUCUCCAGCGGGUUUCAGAGAAGUGAAGGCCAAGAACUUGCGACUCUCAGGAGGGUCUUCAAUCUGCCGUCCAUGACUCUGCUAAUCCGCUUUUCGUUUCUUAGAAGUAGCGGUAGCUUCCAAGCUUGAGUCGACCCAUCAUUUCUGGAAGUCAAGGUUUAAUAAACUCCCAAACAAACAAUCAAACUGUGAGGUCGAUCCUAAGAAAGUUAAGAGUUGGUGCGCUUCCAUCACGUUAGUGCAGUCUCUAGGUCAUCCCUCCAAGAAAGAUAUAAUAUUGCACCAUCUGGCACCGGCUGCAUAUAAUUUCAGAUUUUGUUGUUGGAUGGAAGCAUACAUCCCCAAACCCUAGACAGAUUUGGUGGACAGACACUCCCAUUGACAUCCUUGAAGCUCUAGCAUACCCAAAGGCCAUAACAUGAUUUAGCUUAUUUCUUGUUUCAACAAGAAGGUGAGUCUGCCGAUGGCAUUAUCAAUCUUCGCCAAUAUCACAUAGAUCGGCUUUUUAGAGUAAUCACUAAAAGGGCGUGUUGCGUACCCAGUGCACGAGGCUCCCGCAUGUGUGAGGUCCCCGGGAGAGGGGGGAGAACUAUGGCGAGAACUAUGCAGCCUUACCUGGAGAAUGUUGAGAGAUUGUUUCAACCUUAUUGUAUUGUAUAUAUAGUAUCUUUUGUGCGCUAAAGUUAACAAUCUAGCUAACAUUGAGAACUUAAACUAUUUAACUUCUCUACAGACCAGUAAUUGAUCAGAACUUAUACUAUGCUCGGAUGAAGUAUACAUCAACCACAACCAUGUCAAAUUUACUUCCUCUUUAAGUAUUAACCUCUCUGUUUA